rnacentral:sRNA from 1 species
GCCGAGAUCACCGCAGAGGGCUGAAUGGUGGAAUAACGCCCCUGAACUCCAUCUCACCUUUGAAGAAAAAUUUCGCAAGCAAUCAUAUUCAGCUCCAGAAGUAUGCUCGCCCCAGCUCUGCCUUUGCACCUAAAUCCUGGAUGGAAGAUAGCUUGAACAGGGCUGACAACAUUUUUCCUUUUCCG